rnacentral:rRNA from 1 species
UACGAAGGGGGCUAGCGUUGUUCGGAAUUACUGGGCGUAAAGCGCGCGUAGGCGGUGAUCCAUGUCAGAGGUGAAAGCCUGGGGCUCAACCCCAGAAUUGCCUUUGAAACGGGAUCGCUAGAGUCCGAGAGAGGAUGGCGGAAUUCCUAGUGUAGAGGUGAAAUUCGUAGAUAUUAGGAAGAACACCGGUGGCGAAGGCGGCCAUCUGGCUCGGUACUGACGCUCAGGCGCGAAAGCGUGGGGAGCAAACAGG